GCUCAGGUCGCAUAAUCAGGUUAUUGCGGGAGUCUCAAAAACUCCUUUCUCUCACAGAGAUUUCUGGGUUCAAAUCCCAGCUUGAGCG
rnacentral:tRNA from 1 species